UACGGAGGGUGCGAGCGUUGUCCGGAAUCAUUGGGCGUAAAGGGCGCGUAGGUGGCGGGACAAGCGUGCGGUGAAAGCUCGGGGCUCAACCCCGAGUCGGCCGUGCGAACUGUUUUGCUUGAGCACUGUAGAGGCAGGCGGAAUUCCGGGUGUAGCGGUGGAAUGCGUAGAGAUCCGGAGGAAGACCGGUGGCGAAGGCGGCCUGCUGGGCAGUUACUGACACUGAGGCGCGACAGCGUGGGGGAGCAAACAGG
rnacentral:rRNA from 1 species